UACGUAGGGUGCAAGCGUUAAUCGGAAUUACUGGGCGUAAAGCGUGCGCAGGCGGUUUUGUAAGUCUGUCGUGAAAUCCCUCGGCUUAACCGAGGAACUGCCCUCCAAACUGCUUGGCUUGAGUCCGGGAGAGGUGAGUGGAAUUCCCAGUGUAGCGGUGAAAUGCGUAGAUAUUAGGAGGAACACCAGUGGCGAAGGCGGCUCACUGGACCGGAACUGACGCUGAGGCGCGAAAGCGUGGGGAGCAAACGGG
rnacentral:rRNA from 1 species